AUCUAUGGCCAUACUACCCUGAAUAUGCCUGGUCUUGUCUGAUCUUGAAGCUAAGCAGGGUCAGGCCUGGUUCAUACUUGGAUGGGAGAAAAUUGUUGCUGUUUUUC
rnacentral:rRNA from 1 species